rnacentral:piRNA from 1 species
UGACAUGAAACACCCUGUAAGGACACAUGG